rnacentral:rRNA from 1 species
GAUGAACGCUGGCGGCGUGCUUAACACAUGCAAGUCGAACGAUGAAGCCCAGCUUGCUGGGUGGAUUAGUGGCGAACGGGUGAGUAACACGUGAGUAACCUGCCCUUAACUCUGGGAUAAGCCUGGGAAACUGGGUCUAAUACCGGAUAGGAGCGUCCACCGCAUGGUGGGUGUUGGAAAGAUUUAUCGGUUUUGGAUGGACUCGCGGCCUAUCAGCUUGUUGGUGAGGUAAUGGCUCACCAAGGCGACGACGGGUAGCCGGCCUGAGAGGGUGACCGGCGACAAGGGGAAUGAGAGAGGGCGGAGACUCAGAGGGGGGGAAAGGGGGGGAAAAAUGGAAGAUGGGGGGAGAGCGAGAGGCGGAGGGCCGGGGGGAGGAAGGAGGGCUUAUGGGUGAAAAACCUCUGUGAGAGGGAAAAAGGAAAAAGUGACGGUACCUGAAAAGAAAGACACGGAUAACUACGGG